rnacentral:rRNA from 1 species
GACGAACGCUGGCGGCGUGCUUAACACAUGCAAGUCGAACGGUGAAGCGCCUUCCUUUUUGGUGGGUGUGGAUGAGUGGCGAACGGGUGAGUAACACGUGAGUAACCUGCCCCCUUCUUCUGGAUAACCGCAUGAAAGUGUGGCUAAUACGGGAUAUUCUGGGUCUGUCGCAUGAUGGGUCUGGGAAAGAUAUUGUUUCGGUGGGGGAUGGGCUCGCGGCCUAUCAGCUUGUGGGUGGGGUGAUGGCCUACCAAGGCGGUGACGGGUAGCCGGCCUGAGAGGGUGGACGGUCACACUGGGACUGAGACACGGCCCAGACUCCUACGGGAGGCAGCAGUGGGGAAUAUUGCACAAUGGGCGCAAGCCUCAUGCAGCGACGCCGCGUGAGGGAUGGAGGCCUUCGGGUUGUGAACCUCUUUCGCCAGUGAAGCAGGCCUGCCUCGUUUGUGGGUGGGUUGACGGUAGCUGGAUAAGAAGCGCCGGCUAACUACGUG